rnacentral:lncRNA from 1 species
AAUAGAAGCUAGAAAUCUGAUUUCAUUCCAUUCAAACCAUAAAUGUGAUAUAACAAUCUAGUAUUCAAUUCCAUUCCAAGGCUUGAAACAGAAGCAAAAACUCAACAAGAACGUUGGAACAAGAUUACAUCUCAUUAUGUCUUUGGUCUUAAGGCCAAAAAUGUGAGAAGCAGAAGACAAUUUUGUUCCAAUUUCAAAUACUAUUAGAAAUUUUGUUCAUAUUUUACAGAAGCAGAAACUUUAUUCUGUUCAAAUAAUUCCAGGAACAGGUAUGUUAAGGUUAUCCCUUCUAUUCAUUUGGCAUGAUCCAUACGAUACGAGCGAAACAUGCAAAUGCACAAAUUCCAUGAAUAACUCUAUUCAUAGAAGUAUUAGAAAAAUCUGUGUUCUUGAAUUUCCAUGUGUUAUAAUAUUUUAUCAUCUGUUCAUGGGUCUCAGAAAAAUACGAAAGCUAAAAAGAGGUUACUUUAUGAUAUUACUCAAAGGUAAAAUGGUCUUAUGACAAUUGCGAAAGAUUUUAUUAACGUACUUUUCAUGCAUUGCAUUCAUGUACAUUGACCCGUGACCAAAUGGCAUUAUAUNNNNNNNNNNNNNNNNNNNNNNNNNAACAUGUACCUAUGCAUGACAUCACAUUCAUACGCAUAUGCAUGAUACUAUAGUUAUUUCGUGAUUUACAAGUUAUUCAAACUUACAGGUUGAGUCAUGUACCUUAUAUUUCUUCCAUGUCUCUUAUGUAUUUAUUUAUGUGCCUUACAUACUCGGUACAUUAUUCAUACUGACGUCCUUUUUGCCUGGGGACGCUGCAUUUCAUGCCCGCAGGUCCCGAUAAACAGGUUGAGAGCCCUCCAAGUAGGCUAUCAGCUCAGUGGAAGAUGUUGGUGCGCUCUAUUUGCUUCAGAGUUUCUCAUUUGGUAUGUCGGGACUCUGUCCUGGCCUUUAUGACAUUUAUGUACUCUUAGAGGCUUAUAGACAUAUGCUAUGUACGUGAAAGAUUGUACGGUCUUGUUGGCCUAUGUUUUGAGUUUAUAAAUGAUCAUGUUAGCCUAUUAGGUCCGUAUGUCACGUGUAUAUGAUGAUGUAAUAAGAAAGAUAUGUUAUGUUGGUACUCGGUUGAGUAAGGUACCGGUUACCCAUCGCGGCCCAUCGGUUUGUGUCCUGACAAAAAAUGGUAUUAGAGCAGUUCUUUCCUAGGGAUGUCUACAAGUUGUGUCUAAUAGAGUCUUAUUUAUGGGAUUGUCAUGCACCACACUUAUAAGAAGGAGGCUACGGGGCAUUUAAGACUGUCACUCUUUCUUCUUAUUCUAGAUCGUGUGGUAAAGCUCACUUAUAAGAAUUCAAACUCCUAGCUUCUAUUUUAUUUAUAAUAUGACGAUACCUCUAAUUGGUUAGAGAUUGAAUACAGCUAUGGAAGAAUUGAGUAAGAGGAACUCAAUUUUGUAUGAUGCCUACAAUAAGUAAAUGUGAUGUCUUUAGCAGAUCAUGGGUGUACUGAAAGGUGUAAGCUUCCUGAUAAGAAGCCUUAAGGCAAGAAUGCCUAUCCAUUUUAAUGGUGAAAGACAAUGAGAGAUUAAGAAGAUAAAUAAAAGUUUCAACAAGCAAAAGAAGCAAGAUGAAGAAGGGUACGAGACACCUAGUUAAUAAAGGUUAACAGUGUUUAUAAUUCAGGCAGG